rnacentral:rRNA from 1 species
AACGAACGCUGGCGGCAGGCUUAACACAUGCAAGUCGAGCGCCCCGCAAGGGGAGCGGCAGACGGGUGAGUAACGCGUGGGAACGUACCCUUUACUACGGAAUAACGCAGGGAAACUUGUGCUAAUACCGUAUGUGCCCUUUGGGGGAAAGAUUUAUCGGUAAAGGAUCGGCCCGCGUUGGAUUAGCUAGUUGGUGGGGUAAAGGCCUACCAAGGCGACGAUCCAUAGCUGGUCUGAGAGGAUGAUCAGCCACAUUGGGACUGAGACACGGCCCAAACUCCUACGGGAGGCAGCAGUGGGGAAUAUUGGACAAUGGGCGCAAGCCUGAUCCAGCCAUGCCGCGUGAGUGAUGAAGGCCUUAGGGUUGUAAAGCUCUUUCACCGGGGAAGAUAAUGACGGUACCCGGAGAAGAAGCCCCGGCUAACUUCGUGCCAGCAGCCGCAGUAA